rnacentral:rRNA from 1 species
UCCGUAGGCGGGUAAUUAAGUCAGAGGUGAAAUCCCACAGCUUAACUGUGGAACUGCCUUAGAUACUGGUUAUCUUGAGUUUUAAUGAAGUAGAUAGAAUGUGUAGUGUAGCGGUGAAAUGCAUAGAUAUUACACAGAAUACCGAUUGCGAAGGCAGUCUACUAACUAACAACUGACGCUAAUGGACGAAAGCGUGGGGAGCGAACAGGAUUAGAUACCCUGGUAGUCC